AGCUCCUCGAGUGGUGGGGACGAUUAUUGGGCUUAAAGCGUCCGUAGCCGGCUUGGCAAGUCUUUCGUUAAAUCCAGCGGCUUAACCGUUGGGCUGCGGGAGAUACUGUCAGGCUAGGGGGCGGAAGAGGCCGACGGUAUUCUCGGGGUAGGGGUGAAAUCCUAUAAUCCUGAGAGGACCACCAGUGGCGAAGGCGGUCGGCUAGUACGCGCUCGACGGUGAGGGACGAAAGCUGGGGGAGCGAACCGGAUUAGAUACCCGAGUAGUCC
rnacentral:rRNA from 1 species